GACUACACAUUAUAUGAUUGUGUUUGUCCGGUUUCUAACUUGGGGAAAUUGUCCGCGUCCGUAAAAAGGCUUGUCAAUACAUUCUCUACUGUCUUGCUGUGGCUGGGAUAGCUUGACAGAAACUUCAAUCUCUGCUAAAAAGAUCAGUCUUUAUUAAGGCUUGGACUAUGAUUUGUCCUCAGAAAAAUUCAAUAUCUCUGCUAUAAAUUAUAUGGAGUUACAAUUCAAUGUUUCUGCUAAUUUGAUGGAGAGUAAAAAGUCCUUUGGACAAUGAUAUCUAAGAAAAUUCAAUUCUCUGCUUAUACAAUGAUUCAAUGUUCUGAUGGAGAGGAAAAGAUACAGUCUGCAAAUAAUGGCUUGGCCUCAGAUGCAUGCUCAGUUGUAACAUUCAAUAUCUCUGCUAUGGAGGAUACUUCAAUCUCUGCUCUUUAUUAUUACGGCUUGGACAAUGAUGUCCUGAGAAAUUCAAUUCUCUGCUGAAACUAUUAUUUCAUUCAAUAUCUCUCUGCUAUAGAAAACUUCAGUCUCUGCUAAGUUCAGACUUGUACAGCGAUGUCUGGAGAAAUUCAAUGUUCUGCUUAAAAUAGAAAAUUCAAUGUUCUGCUAACUACUUAUGGAGAGAAAAACAAAAAAAACAGUUCUUUUUUUAGGAGUUGUGGUUGCUGGGGCUGGGACAGUUACUUAGGAGUUGUGGUUGCUGGGGCUAGGAAAGCUUGAUAACAGAAGCUAGAUGUUCUUGGGGCAGAGAUAUUACGACUGUAAGUGAAAGCCUUUCAAAACUAUAUCCCAAGAUAGAUCAGCCUAUUAAGGCUUUGGACAAUGAUGUCCUGAGAAAUUCAAUUCUCUGCUUAAAUUAUAUGGAGUACAAUUCAAUAUUCUGCUAAUUUGAUGGAGAGUAAAAGUCCUUUUAAGGCUUGUUUAAUGCCUUUGUAAGAUUGGAGAGCUCUGUCCGAUCAAAGAUAUUGUGCUGAAGCUGGCAGCAUCUUUAAAAUUCAAUAUAAUCUGCUAUAAAAAAACUUCAGUUUCUGCUAAGUUCAGACUUGUACAGUGUUGUCUGGAGAAAUUCAAUUAUCUGCUUAAAAUUCAGUGUUCUGCUAACUGAUGGAGAUAAAAUAUCAUAUUCAAUGUUCUGCUAACUGAUGGAGACUAUAUGUCCUUAAUUAAGGCUGGUUUUGCUGGGGCUGGGACAACAUGAUUCUCAUUCAAUAUUCUCUUUUGAUCAGGUAAGUGUCUCUUCCCUUCCCUCUUUUAUAAUAAGGUAUAAUAUAUUCCCUUGAUUUGAUCUCUAAUUUGAUCACAUAAUCUUUUAUAACUGUUAUGAGUUGUUAUUACUAAUCUAAACUUUUAGCUUCAGAAGCCCAAGAACUAGAGUGUGUACAUGAUCUUUCUCAGGGUUGUGGAGACUCUAGCUUUUUGGUAACUUCUGGUGCACAACAGGAUUAGCUGAACGAGCAGAAAACAUAAUAGAAAUUGGAAAUCUAACCUCUUUUCAAGCAUGUAAGUAUCUGAAUCUUGAAUCCAAUUGUACUUGCAAGUUCUAUUUAUUUCAUCGUUCAUCUGAUAUGUUUUUAGAAUAAGGCAUCUUUGGUGUGUAUAUGAAUGAUCUGAUCUUAGGUAAAUGUUAGUUUUCUCUUUUCAAUAUUAGAUUGGUGUUUCUUCUGUGUUGAUUGUUGUAGUAGAGACUGUGUCUGAACCGGCAGCUUUUGAUCAGGUAAUUUUUUACCCCUUAAUCAAAGCUCUAAAUUCAUAUGUUGUUUAUGCUGUAGAAAAGUUGAGAUCUCAUGAGUUUUUCAAAAUACUAUGGUUUCUUCUUUGUCUUUACUAUAGUGACUGAAUGUUUAUAUCAACAACAACAUUGAAAUACUGACUUUGUCAUCUAAAACUUGACUUUAUACAACAACAUUUUGAGGUCUCUACUUACCUAUACUACAGUUUAAAUAUUAACUAUAUGAUAUUUUGUUUUUAUCAGGGGCAUGAUUGGAGCUUCUGUGGUGCACGUCGUCUUCAACAACACCCCUCUUUCCAAGUGGAUUUUUUGCAUUAGGAUUAAACAAAAUUUUAACUAAGCUGCUCCCACAUCUCUAAUAUACACAUAAAAACAGAUGACACGAACACCCACAUACACGAAACGUAACCAUAAAACACAAACGAAAAUUGUCUACCCACAAUCUCACACGCUGAUACAAACACACACGUUUCACGAACACACAGACACUGAAUGUAAACGUAAACAUAACUUUUGUGUACCAAACGCUAAUACUAACAAACUUAAAUGCAAGACAUAUGCAUAAGAAAAAAAUAACGUGAACUGAUUCAGUUGAAAUUAGUGUUUGUUUAGUAGUAGUAGCAUCAGAUGAUCGUUCUCUUAAUUUUCAACAGACCAAAUCGUUGAAUGACCGAAGUUAAAUCCAAGUUGAACCAAACCAAGAUAGCUGCAAAACGCCUGUGCAAAAGAAAUAGCGAACCUCUUCACUUCACCUUAUCAUAAUCAGCUUCUCUAACACUCACAAGUUUUCAACUAAAUGACGUAUUUGCUAAGACCAAUUGAAUCUUAAAUAAUGUUUCAAAUAUUAUAUUUUUAUUCAUUUUGAAGAUGAAAAUAAAAAACAACUAUUCACAUGAAUUUCCAUCUUUAAAAUAAAAAUUGAACAAUAUCUUUUCAUAAAUUUUUUUAUUUUAUAAACCAUAUAAAUUCCACACCUUUGGCGCAUAAUCACUCUUAGUACCUGAAGCAAACCUUUACACCAUUCCGGUUUAAGAAAUGUCUCUUCGUCCCAAAAGAUGAUUAACCUGUGGUACAAGAGAAUCAACCUCUUUUUACUACCACUAGAUCACCACUUUUUUGGUUGUUCCAUUAUAAUUGAAAGAAAAUUAUUCACAUCUUCAAUAUAAGAAGGUAAAAUUUUUAGUUACACAAAAAAUCCUUCAAAUUUUAACAAUCUUUAUUUAUGGUUAAAAUACAUGGUCCCAAAAGUUUGUGACUCAAUACAAAAAUGCUAAUUUUUACUUUGAAAUGCGUUAAUUAAUCAUUUGUAAUAUAAUAAGAUAUGUAAUGCAUAAUUUAUUAAUAAUCUUUAGUUAGAUAAAUUAUGAUGCUUUUAAAAUAUUGCUUAAAAUGAAACAAAUGGGUAAAAAUUAUAAAUAUGAAAAAUUAAAUAAUUAGUUAAAAAUUAAUAAUAAAUUAGAGAUAUAAUAUACUAAAAAUAUUUGUUUUGAAGUAAAAGCUAAUAGCUUUGUACUUUAAACUUGUCUUAAUCUUUUAACCCCAAAAGCUCUCAGGCCCGCUUCCCCAGAAACCCCAAAGCAGAAUGUCGAAUUUGAAAAACCGGAUCUCACCCACUUUUUAGUACUAAAAACAGAAAAAACUAUCGUGUCCUUGCCACAGUAUGUCAAGAACCAACGGUCUGUUGCUUUCCUCCGGAGCCAAACCCUUAACCCCCAUCAUCAAAACCCUACCACCUCCGCAUCCCGCUGACUGCAAACUUUUUUGAAGCCGCUACCGACGGCUAGACGAGAUCCCCUAGAAACGCUCAAGCCCUCUGACGUAUCCUGCAUCCAUUUCAAACUACGAACAAGUACUGUUAACUACAUAUUUUGUCUUCCCCAUCUCUGACCAAAACCCUACUCGAACCUCUUACCCUCUUUCUAUCUCGAACCACAAAGAAUGAACCUCUUACCCUCUUUCUAUCUCUGAACCACAAAGAAUGAACCGUAUACCGUACCACCUGAAAGGUAAAGAAGUUGAAAGAGGUUUCUCCCCUCCACCACGAAAACGAAUCCGAGUCCCGGAGAUAGAUACCUCUGACCUUAUUGAUGAAAACUCGCUUACCCUGAUGGGAAGAUUAACAAACCCUUCUAACCAAAGAAUUUGGGCAUUAUUCCCUUUUCUUAUCAACCGAUGGAAUCUAAAAGGUAACGCUACUGGGGCUGUCCUGGGAUGAGGCUGCUUUCAGUUUAAGUUUGAGCAUGAAGAGGACCUUCAUCGGAUAUCUCCUUGCCAAUAGACCAUACCACUUUAACUAGUGGAUGGUCAUCCUUCAAAAAUGGCAACCCAUUAUCUCAGAGACCUUUCCCUCCAAGAUCUCCUUUUGGAUCGAGCUCUAGGGGCUUCCAAAACAUUACUGGAAGAAGGAGAUGCUCCAGAAUAUUGUCGAAGUACUUGGCGAACUUCUGGAUGUGGACAUAUCCAGCUCCUCUGCAAAACUCAAAGCAUUGAUUGAUGGUCUUCAACCCCUGACAAAAGAAACAGUAGUAGAAUUCCCAGAUGGGAGUGAGGUCCUCAUAUUCACAAUAUAAAUACAUAAUAUAUUUGUAAUAACCUAAUUAAGUGCCUAAAAUAGUUUGAUAUUUGGAUA